GAAUUUGACGGUGAUUUAAUCAUUUCAGAGGAGCCUGUAUUUUAAUCGAUAACCCACGAUAGAUUCAACCUUGAAAUUUUAUUUGUAUAUCUCUGUCUUAAGAAUGUUUUAUUAGAAUUGAUUUUCAUAGAUUUAUUAAAAAUUGAAGUCAGGUCAAGGUGCAGUUUUUUAAGGAUUAUAUGGGCUACAUUUAUUUAUAAUUAUGGACUUAGAGUUGAAUAAGCUCUUUAUGAAAUUGGAUUUGGUUGUAAUGAAUAUUACUUUUUAUUUUUGAUAUUUGCUCUGGGUUAAGUACACAUCGCCCGUCACUCUUGCUAUUAAGGUAAGAUAAGUCGUAACAAAGUAGGCUUAUCGGAAGAUAAGCCUGGAAUUAAUUUCAAUUUGUGCUAAGGGCUAUUGUUAUUUACAUUAACAAAAUACUUGUGCAAUUCAAGUCUAAUUGAUUAUGACAUAUUUUAAUAUUAAUCUUAGUAAUAUUUUAGUUAAUAAAAAUAAUUUUAGUUUAAGUAAUUAUUAAUGAAUUUAUUUAUAUUAUUUUAAUAGAGAAUAGUACUGUAAAGGAACUUUAAUUUUAUAAUAAAAAGUAAACUUUUUGGUUGUACCUUUUGUAUCAGGGUUUAUUUAUUAAUAAUAAUUAAUAUUAUUUAUCCCGAAAUUAUAAGAGAUAUUUAUAAUAUUAAGUUAAUGUUGUAAAAAUUAUUUAAAAAUUAUAAAUAGGAGUGAUAUGCUAUUCAUUUAUAAAUAUCUGGUUUUUUGAGAAUUGAAUUUAAUUCAUUUAUAAUAAAUUAGUAAAUAUAUUCUAUAAUAUCUAAUAUUUUAUAAUAACAUUUAGGGGGAUAAGCUCUUAAAUUAUUUAUAGGUUUAUAUUUUUUUUAAAUUAUGUAGGAUUAAUAAUUUCCUUCUUUUAAUAUUUUGUUAUAAUUAUUUUUUAGUUUUAAAUUUUAAUUUUUUAUUCCUUAAUUUUAUAUCAAAAAAUUUUAUUUAAUUUUGUAUUAAAAGUUAUAAUGAUAAAAUUAGUAUAAUCUUUAAUAUAUAAACAGUAACUUGGCAAUUACAAUAUUCACCUGUUUAACAAAAACAUCUCUUAUUGCUAAUAUUUAAUAAGUAAGGCCUGCUCGGUGAUUAAUUUAACAGCUGCAGUAUUUUGACUGUGCAAAGGUAGCAUAAUCAUUUGUCUUUUAAUUGAAGGCUGGGAUGAAUGGUUUGAUGAAAUAUUAACUUUCUUUUUAUAUUAUAUUAAAAAUUAAUUUUUAAGUGAAAAAGCUUAAAUAUAAUUGGGGGACGAGAAGACCCUUUAGAACUUAAAUACCAUUAUUAAUAUAUUUUUUAGGGUAUUUAUUAUUUAUAUUAAUUAAGUUAUUUUUAUUGGGGUGAUAAAGAAAUUUAUGCAACUUUCUUUCAAUCAUUUUAUAAAUUAAUAUACUAUUGAUCCUAUUUAUAGAUUAUAAGAUUAAGUUACCU
rnacentral:rRNA from 1 species